GACGAACCGUGCAAACGUUAUUCGGAAUCACUGGGCUUAAAGGGCGCGUAGGCGGGCUCCCAAGUCGGUGGUGAAAUCUUUCGGCCCAACCGGAAAAGUGCCGCCGAUACUGGGAGCCUCGAGGGAGGUAGGGGUCGAGGGAACUCUAGGUGGAGCGGUGAAAUGCGUAGAUGUCUGGAGGAACGCCGGUGGCGAAAGCGCUCGACUGGACCUCUUCUGACGCUGAGGCGCGAAAGCCAGGGGAGCAAACGGG
rnacentral:rRNA from 1 species